GGUUGAUGUUGAUAUACCGCGUCAUAAAUUCGAAUUUGUUGACUACAAUAAAAUACAUGAACGCGUUAAUAAACAUGUCCAGCUAUCAGAUAUCAUUGCAAAUGUGAUUGGUGUUGGACCAAUUGAGCAACCUUGCAUCAAAGGAUCAAAUGUCUCGAUGAGAAACAUAAAUGUCAUGACUAUAGAAGGAAAUGAAAUAAAGCUUACACUUUGGGGAUUAGUUGCAAAUGAAGUUGAGGAGAGCUUCUUUACUGAAAAUCAAGGCCCUUUU